rnacentral:rRNA from 2 species
AAAUUGAAGAGUUUGAUCAUGGCUCAGAUUGAACGCUGGCGGCAGGCCUAACACAUGCAAGUCGAGCGGCAGCGGAAAGUAGCUUGCUACUUUGCCGGCGAGCGGCGGACGGGUGAGUAAUGUCUGGGAAACUGCCUGAUGGAGGGGGAUAACUACUGGAAACGGUAGCUAAUAC